UACAGAGGGGGCGAGCGUUGUUCGGAAUUACUGGGCGUAAAGGGCGCGUAGGCGGCCAACUAGGUCAGACGUGAAAUCCCUCGGCUCAACCGGGGAACUGCGUCUGAUACUGGAUGGCUUGAAUUCGGGAGAGGGAUGCGGAAUUCCAGGUGUAGCGGUGAAAUGCGUAGAUAUCUGGAGGAACACCGGUGGCGAAGGCGGCAUCCUGGACCGAGAUUGACGCUGAUGCGCGAAAGCCAGGGGAGCAAACGGG
rnacentral:rRNA from 1 species